AGUGACCGAUAGCGUAUAGUACUGUGAAGGAAAGGUGAAAAGAACCCCGGGAGGGGAGUGAAAGAGAACCUGAAACCUUAUGUUUACAAACAGUCGAAGUUUUUCGGAACGACGGCGUACUUUUUGUAGAACGGUCCGGCGAGUUGCAGUGACAUGCGAGGUUAAGGAGUACAGCUCCGGAGCCGAAGGGAAACCAAGUCUUAACUGGGCGUCUAGUAUGUUAAUGCAGACCCGAAACCGGGUGACCUAUCCAUGGGCAGGUUGAAGUUACCGUAAAAGGUAAUGGAGGACCGAACUCACAUCUGUUGAAAAAGGUGGAGAUGACCUGUGGAUAGCGGAGAAAUUCCAAUCGAACUCGGAGAUAGCUGGUUCUCCUCGAAAUAGCUUUAGGGCUAGCCUUGAGGUAAAGUCUAAUGGAGGUAAAGCACUGAUUGGACGCGGGUCCCCAAAAGGAUACCAACUUCUAUCAAACUCAGAAUGCCAUAUAGAUAUACUCAGGAGUCAGACUAUGUGAGAUAAGUUUCAUAGUCAAAAGGGAAAGAGCCCAGACCGACAGCUAAGGUCCCAAAGUGUGUGUUAAGUGGAAAAGGAUGUUAGGUUUCUAAGACAACUAGGAUGUUGGCUCAGAAGCAGCCACUCAUUUAAAGAGUGCGUAACAGCUCACUAGUCGAGAGGUCUAGCGCCGAAAAUGUCCGGGGCUAAAACACACCACCGAAGCUACGGAAUUACCUAUGGUAAUUGGUAGAGGAGCAUUCUGUAAGGAUGAAGCACAAUUGAAAGAGAGUGUGGACGAAACAGAAGAGAGAAUGCCGGAAUGAGUAGCGAGAUAUAUGUGAGAAUCAUAUAGGUCGAAUGUCUAAGGUUUCCUGGGUAAAGCUGAUCUGCUCAGGGUAAGUCGGGACCUAAGGUGAGGGCGAGAGCCGUAAUCGAUGGACAACAGGUAGAAAUUCCUGUACUACGUAUAAUCAGAACUGUGGGGACGCAGGAGGAUAGGAAAACCGGAGAAUGGAAAAAUCCGGCUAAGUACAAAGGUGUGAGUGAUAGGCAAAUCCGUCACUAUUAGCUGAAGUACGAAUGGGAGCGAAGAAAAGUAGCGAAGUUUCUGAAUCCACACUGUCAAGAAAAGCCGCUAUUGCGUUAUACGUACCCGUACCGCAAACCGACACAGGUAGACGAGGAGAAAAUCCACAGACCGACGGGAGAAGUGUUGUUAAGGAACUCGGCAAAAUGACCCCGUAACUUAGGGAUAAGGGGAGCCAACGCAAGUUGGUCACAGAAAAGAGGCUCAAGCGACUGUUUAGCAAAAACACAGGUCUAUGCGAAACCGUAAGGUGAUGUAUAUGGGCUGACGCCUGCCCGGUGCUGGAAGGUUAAGAGGAGAGGUUAGAGCAAUCGAAGCUUUGAAUUGAAGCCCCAGUAAACGGCGGCCGUAACUAUAACGGUCCUAAGGUAGCGAAAUUCCUUGUCGGGUAAGUUC
rnacentral:rRNA from 1 species